rnacentral:rRNA from 1 species
GGAAAGACCCCGUGAACCUUUACUGCAGCUUGGCUGUGGCAACGGAAAUAAUAUGUGUAGGAUAGGUGGGAGGCUUUGAAGCAGCGGCGCCAGUCGUUGUGGAGCCAUCCUUGAAAUACCACCCUUAUUCUUUUCGUUGUCUAACCGCGUCCCUGGAUGGGACCGGGACCCAGCCUGGCGGGCAGUUUGACUGGGGCGGUCGC